GACGAACGCUGGCGGCGUGCCUAAUACAUGCAAGUUGAGCGCUGAAGGUUGGUACUUGUACCAACUGGAUGAGCAGCGAACGGGUGAGUAACGCGUGGGGAAUCUGCCUUUGAGCGGGGGACAACAUUUGGAAACGAAUGCUAAUACCGCAUAAAAGCUUUAAACACAAGUUUUAAGUUUGAAAGAUGCAAUUGCAUCACUCAAAGAUGAUCCCGCGUUGUAUUAGCUAGUUGGUGAGGUAAAGGCUCACCAAGGCGAUGAUACAUAGCCGACCUGAGAGGGUGAUCGGCCACAUUGGGACGGAGACACGGCCCAAACUCCUACGGGAGGCAGCAGUAGGGAAUCUUCGGCAAGGGACGAAAGUCUGACCGAGCAACGCCGCGGGAGUGAAGAAGGUUUUCGGAUCGUAAAACUCUGUUGGUAGAGAAGAACGUUGGUGAGAGUGGAAAGCUCAUCAAGUGACGGUAACUACCCAGAAAGGGACGGCUAACUACGUG
rnacentral:rRNA from 1 species